rnacentral:rRNA from 1 species
CAGUAGCCGCGGGAAUACGAGGGGAGCUAGCGUUAUUCGGAAUUACUGGGCGUAAAGCGCACGUAGGCGGCUUUGUAAGUUAGAGGUGAAAGCCCAGAGCUCAACUCUGGAAUUGCCUUUAAGACUGCCGAGCUAGUAGGUGAGAGAGGUGAGUGGAAUUCCGAGUGUAGAGGUGAAAUUCGUAGAUAUUCGGAAGAACACCAGUGGCGAAGGCGGCUCACUGGCUCAUUCUAGACGCUGAGGUGCGAAAGCGUGGGGAGCAAACAGGAUUAGAUACCCGCGUAGUCCCUGUCUCUUAUAU